UAAAAACUCACACACACACAAAAGGGUGGUAUGGUUAGGAGAGGAAAAUGGCCAGCAAAAGGAAAAAAAAAAAAAAAAGGGAAGAUUUUUUAUUUUGACUACUAAAGGGGCUUUAUUUAUAUAACAAGACCACCUUUUUGCCAGCCAGACCAACCUGAAAGAGCAAUGGCUGUACUUCUGAAAUAGCAGCAUUUUGUCCUAGCCGAAAUAAGGAUACCAAAAUCAUCAUACCAGAGACAUGAAUCUCCCUCAUUUGGCAUCCCAGGAGGCCUGGAUCAGUUUCACUGUGAAUGCUCCGCCGCUCAACCACACAAGCACCCUUCCUCCAGGCCCAGGGGAUACUGCAGAAGAGUGCUUUACGAAAUGAUGUGAAAACCUCAUUAGUGAUUCUUUCUUCGAAGUACUACUCUUCAAAGUUGUGAUGGUUAAUUUGAGUGUCAACUUGAUUGGAUUGAAGGAUUCAAAAUAUUGUUCCUGGAUGUGUCUAUGAGGGUGUUGCCAAAGGAGAUUAACAUUUGAGUCAGUGAACUGAAAGAGGCAGACCCACCCUCAAUUCAGGUGGGCCUCCAUCUAAUCAACUGCCAGUGGGGUUAGGAUAAAAGAAGGCAGAAGAACGCGGAAGGACUGGACAAGCUGAAUCUUCUGGCCUCCAUCUUUCACCUGUGCUGGAUCCUUCCUGCCCUCGAACAUCAGACUCCAAGUUCUUCAGCUUAUAAACUCUUGGACUUACACCAGCGAUUUCCCUGGGGCUCUUGGGCCUUCAGCCACAGACUGAACGCUGCAACUAUUGCCUUCCCUAUUUUUGAGGUGUUGAGACUUGCACUGGCUUCCUGGCUCCUCAUCUUGCAGAUGGCCUGUUGUGGGACUUCACCUUGUGAUCCUGUGAAUCAAUUAUCUUAAUAAACUCCCCUUCAGAUAUUCAUCUACUAAGGAAUUCAUCUACUAAGGAAUAUUCACCCUUAUUUUGUUAAGAACAUGUUUGUACAUGUAUACAGUUGUACUAAGAAAAUAUCUUUAUUUCCUUUUUUUCUUUAUCAUGUGACAUAAGAUUUAUUGACUUCAUAUCAGCAUUUAAAUGUUGUUAACUUUAUAUAAUAGCAUUUAGGUUAAUGAUUAGUGUGCUUCUGGUUGUAAGAAGGAUAACUGUACUAUGUUAGGCAUAAUUAUGACCUUAUUAUUGUCUUCAUUUGGUGAUUAUGUAUGAUUUCAGGAGAUGUGUGUGGGUUCAAGUUGACAAAGGGUAGACUUGUGAUGGUUAAUACUGAGUGUCAACUUGAUUGGACUGAAGGAUGCAAAUCAUUGUUCCUGGGUGUGUCCGUGAGGGUGUUGCCAAAGCAGAUUAACAUUUGAGUCAGUAGAAUGGGAGAGGCAGACUCACCCUCAGUCUGGGUGGGCACCAUCUAAUCAGCUGCCAGCGUGGCUAGGACAAAAGCAGGCAGAGGAACGUGGAAGGAAUAAGCUCACUGAGUCUUCCUGCCUUCAUCAUUCCCUUGUGCUGGAUGGAUAUUUCCUUCCCUCAAACAUCAGACCCCAAGUUCUUCAGGUUUUGGACUCUUGGACUUAGACCAGUGAUUUACCAGGGACUCUCGGUCCUUCUGCCACAGGCUGAAGGUUGCACUAUUGGCUUCCCUACUUUUGAGGUUUUGGGACUCCGACUGGCUUCCUGGCUCCUCACCUUGCAGAUGGUCUAUUGUGGGACCUCAUCUUGUGAUCAUGUCUCAGUAUGUUGCUCAGACUGGUCUUGAACUCCUGGCCUCAAGUGAUCCUCCCACCUCAGCCUCUUGAGUAGCUGGGACUACAGUUGCAAGCCAUCCUGUCUGGCUAGUUAUCUUUAAUUAAUGACAUUUGUUAAAGUAACACAAAAAUCCUAGAAACAUUUGCCUGUUGAAACUUUCUGAUAAUUUGAAUGAAGUAAAGUUUGGAGUCUCUGUCUCAUUGAAAAUACUCAAGGUUAAUAUAAUAAAAACAGCAAAGCAGUAAUGCAUAAAAGAAUUAUUAGAAGUCUAAUAAAAUUAUUUGGACCUCCAACUAUAGCAACACUGAUUAAUGACUGCUUUUUAAUUAAUUGAAAGUUGUUCAAUCAUCGUGCCAUUUCAUUUCACCUGAGAGUUUUUAUAAAAGGGUCAGAGCCAAAACAUAUGCUAGUUCAAUUUGCAAUAAGGUAUACUUAAGCAAUUUCAUUCUUCUUGGCAGGGCAAGUGUGGGCUAUUCAUUUCUCAUUUAUUCACGGUGAUGAUAUUCCCUGUUCAGCUGGCUAGUGUGAUCAAGGAAGACAG
rnacentral:lncRNA from 1 species